GCCAGGCGUGGUGGCGCAUACCUGUUAUCCCAACUACUCAGGAGGUUGAGGCAGGAGGAUCGCAUGUUCAAAGCAGGCCUGGGAAAUUUAUUGAGACCCUGCCUCAA
rnacentral:sRNA from 1 species